GGAGGUGUAGCUCAGUGGUAGAGCAUUCGACUGUUAAUCGAGAGGUCCCUGGUUCAAACCGAGGUACCCCUUCUUCA